UACGUAGGGGGCAAGCGUUGUCCGGAAUCAUUGGGCGUAAAGAGCGCGUAGGCGGUCCGGUAAGUCGGUUGUGAAAACUGGGGGCUCAACCCUCGAGAGGCCGACCGAUACUGUCGGGCUAGAGUCCGGAAGAGGCGGAGUGGAAUUCCUGGUGUAGCGGUGAAAUGCGCAGAUAUCAGGAAGAACCACCUAUGGCGAAGGCAGCUCUCUGGGACGGUACUGACGCUGAGACGCGAAAGCGUGGGGAGCGAACAGG
rnacentral:rRNA from 1 species